rnacentral:rRNA from 1 species
CCUACGGGUGGCAGCAGUGAGGAAUAUUGGUCAAUGGACGAGAGUCUGAACCAGCCAAGUAGCGUGAAGGAUGACUGCCCUAUGGGUUGUAAACUUCUUUUAUAUGGGAAUAAAAUGUUCCACGUGUGGGAUUUUGUAUGUAACAUAUGAAUAAGGAUCGGCUAACUCCGUGCCAGCAGCCGCGGUAAUACGGAGGAUCCGAGCGUUAUCCGGAUUUAUUGGGUUUAAAGGGAGCGUAGGUGGAUUGUUAAGUCAGUUGUGAAAGUUUGCGGCUCAACCGUAAAAUUGCAGUUGAAACUGGCAGUCUUGAGUACAGUAGAGGUGGGCGGAAUUCGUGGUGUAGCGGUGAAAUGCUUAGAUAUCACGAAGAACUCCGAUUGCGAAGGCAGUUCACUGGACUGCAACUGACACUGAGGCUCGAAAGUGUGGGUAUCAAACAGGAUUAGAUACCCGUGUAGUC